rnacentral:rRNA from 1 species
UUUUUUUUUUUAUUCUUUUUUUAAAAUUUUUCAAAGUGGUUUUUUUUUUUUUUUUGUUUUUUCUUCUCUCAGACGAACGCUGGCGGCGUGCCUAAUACAUGCAAGUCGAGCGAAUCGAUGGGAGCUUGCUCCCUGAGAUUAGCGGCGGACGGGUGAGUAACACGUGGGCAACCUGCCUAUAAGACUGGGAUAACUUCGGGAAACCGGAGCUAAUACCGGAUACGUUCUUUUCUCGCAUGAGAGAAGAUGGAAAGACGGUUUACGCUGUCACUUAUAGAUGGGCCCGCGGCGCAUUAGCUAGUUGGUGAGGUAAUGGCUCACCAAGGCGACGAUGCGUAGCCGACCUGAGAGGGUGAUCGGCCACACUGGGACUGAGACACGGCCCAGACUCCUACGGGAGGCAGCAGUAGGGAAUCUUCCGCAAUGGACGAAAGUCUGACGGAGCAACGCCGCGUGAACGAAGAAGGCCUUCGGGUCGUAAAGUUCUGUUGUUAGGGAAGAACAAGUACCAGAGUAACUGCUGGUACCUUGACGGUACCUAACCAGAAAGCCACGGCUAACUACGUGCCAGCAGCCGCGGUAAUACGUAGGUGGCAAGCGUUGUCCGGAAUUAUUGGGCGUAAAGCGCGCGCAGGUGGUUCCUUAAGUCUGAUGUGAAAGCCCACGGCUCAACCGUGGAGGGUCAUUGGAAACUGGGGAACUUGAGUGCAGAAGAGGAAAGUGGAAUUCCAAGUGUAGCGGUGAAAUGCGUAGAGAUUUGGAGGAACACCAGUGGCGAAGGCGACUUUCUGGUCUGUAACUGACACUGAGGCGCGAAAGCGUGGGGAGCAAACAGGAUUAGAUACCCUGGUAGUCCACGCCGUAAACGAUGAGUGCUAAGUGUUAGAGGGUUUCCGCCCUUUAGUGCUGCAGCUAACGCAUAAGCACUCCGCCUGGAGACCCGACCGUG